CAUCGGUUUGUCCCAGGAAGCCAGUAAGGAACCUGUCCAGGAGCUAAUUCUGCCUUUCCUAAGGAACCAUCACUGGCUGGAGCCCAAGAGCAGAGUACAGGCUAUGCUGUGCCCUGAGAAGAGAUGAGUACAUGCGCCCAGCCCAUGGAGCACUGGGAGCAGCUCACACCAUCCGGAAACUCUUCCCUAUUUCAAAGCUGGAAUUCCUCCUUCCUUAAUGCGUCCCCCACUUCCUUUCCCCUUUUCCUCAUGUGGCUGUGUUCUUGCCAGCAAAGAAAGUUGAAAAGGAACAAAGGCAUAUGGUUUUCCUAUUAAGACUGACGCCCACGUGUGAGGGGAGCCAGAGGGAAGUGUUCAAAUAAGGGCAACGGAAAUACAUUUAUGUGACACUCAUUUUAUAGGCUGUUUUUUUUUUUUUUAAAAAGCUUGUCCAAAACAAUGAGAUUCUCCUUUGUCCCACUUAUUACAUGUUUGGGAUAUUUAGGAUGUCCUGGAGACCCCUCUACAGAGAGGUAGGAGAAUACAGAAGACCCCGGGUCUAGCUUAUAACAAGUGGUACAGACUUAUUUCUGAGCUGCAUAUGGUGGUACAUGCCUAGAGCCUCGGCUACUCGGCAGGGGUGAGGGAGUGGCGGUCACUUGAGCCUGGCCAGAGCCACAUUGGGAGAAACCGUCCCUUCCUCCCUCCUCCCUCCAAAGUCUUAUUUCUGCCAGACAUUAGCUGUGGACCUACCAUGGUAUACACUCAAAAGUUCCAACACUCAAGAGGCUGAGACAGAGGGAUUGUGAGUUUGAGACCAGCCUGGGCUACAUAGAGAGAGAAACCCUGCCUCAAAAAAGGGUCUGAGAGAAAGCCAAGGGCUGAGAGAAGGCCAUCUCAGCCUCACUGGUUAAAGAGCUUACUACACAAACCCAAAGAUAAGAACUGGAGUUCAGA
rnacentral:lncRNA from 1 species